rnacentral:rRNA from 1 species
AUUGAACGCUGGCGGCAGGCCUAACACAUGCAAGUCGAACGAGUGGCGGACGGGUGAGUAAUGUCUGGGAAACUGCCUGAUGGAGGGGGAUAACUAGUGGAAACGGUAGCUAAUACCGCAUACCAUCAGAUGUGCCCAGAGGGGCUUAUCUUGUUGGUGGGGGAACGUCUCACCAAGGCGACGAUCGCUAGCUGGUCUGAGAGGAUGACCAGCCCCACUUGAACUGGACCACGGUCCCGACUCCGACGGGAGGCAGCAGUGGGGAAUAUUGCACAAUGGGCGCAAGCCUUAUGCAGCCAUGCCGCGUGUAUGAAGAAGGCCUUCGGGUUGGAAAGUACUUUCAGCGGGGAGGCGUUACCCGCAGAAGAAGCACCGGCUAACUCCGUGCCAGCGGCCGCGGUAAUUC